GAUCCUGGCUCAGGAUGAACGCUAGCUACAGGCUUAACACAUGCAAGUCGAGGGGAAACGAUAUUGGAAGCUUGCUUCCGAUAGGCGUCGACCGGCGCACGGGUGAGUAACGCGUAUCCAACCUGCCCACCACUUGGGGAUAACCUUGCGAAAGUAAGACUAAUACCCAAUGAUAUCUCUAGAAGACAUCUGAAAGAGAUUAAAGAUUCAUCGGUGAUAGAUGGGGAUGCGUCUGAUUAGCUUGUUGGCGGGUAACGGCCCACCAAGGCAACGAUCAGUAGGGGUUCUGAGAGGAAGGUCCCCCACAUUGGAACUGAGACACGGUCCAAACUCCUACGGGAGGCAGCAGUGAGGAAUAUUGGUCAAUGGGCGAGAGCCUGAACCAGCCAAGUAGCGUGCAGGAAGACGGCCCUAUGGGUUGUAAACUGCUUUUAUAGGGGAAUAAAGUGAGCCACGUGUGGUUUUUUGCAUGUACCCUAUGAAUAAGGACCGGCUAAUUCCGUG
rnacentral:rRNA from 1 species